GAGAAUAACCAGUUACUGCUGGAACAUCAACGGAGCCCGAGAGUGAGGUGGCCGGAAAAUCGGGAAGGUGAGGAGGUCGAACCGCAGUAACGUUUUCGGGGAAGUUGAGUUUGGCUCUGUUACCUCUAAACCUCAAUGCGGCCUCAUCGUAGGCUCUGGCAGCAGCCUCGGCGGUGUCGAAGGUGCCAAGCCACACUCUCGCCGCUUUGUGAGGAUCGCGAAUCUCCGCCGCCCAUUUCCCCCACGGCCUCUGCCUCACCCCUCUGUAUCUCCUCCUCCUCUCGCCGCUUUCUUCCUGUGACGCAGUCUGUGACGAACCACCCUCACCCCCACUCGCCGCAGAAGUAGUGUCAUCUUCA
rnacentral:lncRNA from 1 species